rnacentral:rRNA from 1 species
UACGUAGGGUGCAGGCGUUAAUCGGAAUUACUGGGCGUAAAGCGUGCGCAGGCGGUUUCUUAAGUCAGAUGUGAAAGCCCCGGGCUUAACCUGGGAACUGCGCUCGAAACUACUUGGCUAGAGUGUGGCAGAGGGAGGUGGAAUUCCACGUGUAGCGGUGAAAUGCGUAGAGAUGUGGAGGAACACCGAUGGCGAAGGCAGCCUCCUGGGCCAACACUGACGCUCAUGCACGAAAGCGUGGGGAGCAAACAGG